UAUAUAUGUAUUUUAAUAAGACUUGUACGAGAUAUACACUAUUUUCUACGCAUUACGUUUUUUACACAUAUGCACGCAUACACAUUAUUAGCAUUCUGUCGACUUAUAAAAUAUAUAGAAAAAUUGGAGGACUUAAUUUUACUAGUAGUUGAAGAGAACGUGGUGAUAAUUACACAGUUAAUUUGUUUAGCCGCGAAUCAUGGUAAAAAAUCGCGUGAAAUUGCAAAAAUGUCAAUGAGCCAGUGUUGUUUCGUUUGUCUUUUGCGAUAUCAGUACAUGCCGACAAUAUGGUCGUGCAGAUGCGCAAUUACAUCACCAUAAUCUUUGUAAACCGACAAUUACAUGAAUAACGUGAAUAGAUAUUGAGAAUGAAUAUUUCAUCUGCUUUCAUCGGUUUGUUUAUUAAGUUUGUUAAGUUUAGUAUAAUAGAAAAAACAGAUGAAGAAGUCUUGUUUAACGGAUAUAAUAAAAUUUUUUUUCUAACCUAGAAAUAAAAAAUUAAUGUCAACAGUUUGAAGAUAUCAUAAAUAUUAAUAAUAUCUGAUGUUGCAUAUUUUUCAAUCGAUUAUUUUUUAAUUUAUAAAUGACAUACAAAAGAAAGAGCGAAGAAUUUUCCAUAAUCGCAUAAAAGGAAAUGAUGCAUUCAUCGACUUAGAAUAUCCAAUAGCAAAAAAGGAAUUCCCAAUUUCAUCAGCAAAGGUCGCACAGCUACAUCUACAAGUAUCUAAGAGGUAACGAGGAGUCAUUCUGACGCAAUAGGGAGACAACGCGAGUCACGAUCGGUCAAGAGGGUUUCCUAUUGAAAUACCGUUGAUAGAUGAAAUUGCAUUUCCGCAACUAUCAUUUUUUCUGACCGCGAUAGCUUAUCUCCAUCAAUAAGAAAAAUUAGCUAUAAGAUAUUUACUCAUCAAAAAUAUUGAAUGAAACAGCAAUAUUUGAUUGGCUGAUUAUGGAGAAAAUUAUAGCUUGAAUCGAUUCUACAAACAAGUUGUAAGCAAGAGGUGGAGAAAUAGGAGGAGCGAUUAAUUUUUGCGCUUAAUCGAAACGCCUAUCAGCAUUGUGGAUGAUGAUGUUAUGUGAAUGGAACGAAUUACAUAUUGUUUUUCUUGGUGAUAUCAUAUGCUUCAGAUUCGAAUAUAAUUUAUCUAAUAACCUUCGAAUAAAUUGCC